UUUCGUAGGUUACAUAAGCAUGAAUAGUUGUUUCUAUUUCAUAGCUAACGUUUUAUUAUAUAUAUAUUUAAUAUAUCCAUGCUGUGGACGUAUAGUGCUUAUGUUUAGUUAACAACCCGACUUUGACGUUGGUCUUUCAGAAUAAUGCAAACUUUGAAAGGAGUCAGACACUUGAUGACAUCAGCUACCAUGAAACAAGCAGUGUCAGAGUUCAAUAUGCCAGUGCCGUGGGGAGAGAUAAGGGGCAAGGUCUGGGGUCCUGACCAUGGUCGACCAAUACUCUGCCUGCACGGCUGGGCAGACAACUGUGGCACUUUCAACACUCUCAUUCCACUGCUGCCAAAAGAGUGGACGUGUGUAGCUGUGGAUAUGGCUGGCCAUGGCCUCUCCUCCCAUAGACCUCCUGGAGUCUUCUACAGCUUUCCUGCUUAUGUGGCUGACAUACGGCGGGUCAUUGGAGCUCUCCAGUGGAAGAGAUUCUCUAUUAUCGGACACAGUAUGGGUGAGUGACUGUUCAUCUUCAUGUUAAUCUCUCUUCCACUCAUUGUGUUCUGAUCAGACAUUGUUGUUUUCCUUUCUGUACAGACAUCUGAUCAUGUGCUCUCCAUUGUACAGGUGGCAAUGUAGCUGGAAUAGUAAGCAUCUUUAAAAAAGAAGCAUGUUAAUGCUGUUUCAUAUCUGUGUCUCUUCGCAAUGAACAAUAUCCAGAGACAGUACCUGUGUAUGGUGUGUGUGUGUGUGUAACCAUGUCCUGUUGUCUUUGUCCAGUUCAGUGCGUUGUAUCCAGAGAUGGUGGAGUCAGUGGUUCUCCUGGACUCCUAUGGAUUCUUACCCACAGACGCAAAGGAAUUGCAUACGGUGAUAAGACAGGGAUUUGAAGGAAUGCUUGAGUUUGAGAAGAAGAAAGAUGAGGAGAAAGAGAAGGUUUACACCUAUGAGAACGCAUUGAUGAGGCUUUUGGCAGCAAACCCCUCUCUCUCUGAGCAGUCAGCCCACAUUCUUUUAGAACGAGGACUCUCUCAGGUUGAAGGAGAAAAAUGUUGUGCGUGUCAGUCUGGAGCAGAGUCUGGAGUUGCAGUCCAGGAUACAGGCCAGAGUUCUAGUAGUGCUGGCGGAGGAGGGGUUUGAGAAGAUGUUUUCUGAACCACAACAGAAGACAUUUACCUCAACGCUACUUCAAGGGUAUAAAGACCGAAGCGGCAUGGUGGUUAACGUACCUGGUGAUCAUCAUGUCCACCUGAACACCCCUGAGACUGUGGCCCAACUCGUCACUGACUUCCUCCAGAAAGAAGCUCCUUCACACAGCACUGCAGAGGAUACACAGGCAGCCAAGUUAUAAUGCCCUGCCCCUCCCCCACUGUGUUAGUUAGUGUUUACAACUCUCAGAUACAUGCAGUGUGCCUGUAGCCUUCCGGCUGCCAUCCAUCCAUUCAUAACAUGAGCAGUAUUAAAGGUAGACUCAGCGACAUGGUGUAGAUGCAGAAAGUAAAUAGCAUAGUGGGUACAUUUUCGCAACAAUUCCUGGUUAAUCCGUGAGCUGGACUGUUUGAGAGCAAAGUCUUGUAUCUCACUCAUCUCAAUAUCUGCGGUGCUGCCCGUGUCAACGUCAUUCGGCUGAAUCUACCCAUAAUAUGAGACUAGAUCAGUUUACAAACCUGUAGACACAGAAUAAAUUGCUACUUGUGCAAAUAGACAACUGUUGCAUAAACAGACUCUAAAGACUUUGAGACCAUAAUAUUUAUUAUAUUGUGCUGUAUCUAAAACACACCAAUACUUUUUUAACGGCAGUCUGUCGAGCUAGAAUACUUGAUGUUUACCAGUUUCUGUAUGUAAUGUCUUUUUAGAACUGGGCUGUUUUCUCCCAACUGAUGACCCAGUGAUGCCUUACAGUGCCUUGCUACUGGUCAGAACCUAUUGAAAUGCAUUCAUAUUUUAAUAAAUCACACAUUUUUAUUAAAAAAAUAAUUGUAUAGGGUUCAGCUUCACACCAAUCAGAUGCAGACCUACAUGUCCACUUCCUGGAUGUGGACAUGUAGAUGGAUUAGAGGUUGAUCUAUCAAGCUUAUCUUUCCUACAUAUGGCCUUAGAGCUGAGUAACAAUCAUUCAACUAAUUGGACAAAGGCUUCUUCCUGGUACAGUUUGACAAUAAAUAGGUCAUCCUUCCUGCUCUUCAGUCUUAUUUUAGUCAUUGUCUCAGAUAAAAGUAAUUGUCUCAGACGUCAAGAGAAAAAAACAUGACAUGUUGUGCUUUGUAGCUGAGCAGUCUCCUUAAAAGGAAAUCAUAUUGCUUCUGCCUGAGUGACGGAUAUGAAGGAGAACAUUACCCUCUUGCUCUGUGAUGGUUUGUGCAUUAAAUGAACUGGAAUCGAUUUCAUGCAGAGGCUGGAGGAGGCGACCGGAGACAUCUGAAGGGUCCUGGUCCAAAAAAACACCACAAUAACCGUUGCAUAACAUCUGCCUCCACCCAUCACUAGGGCUGUUGUCAUAGCAAUGCCCCCCUCCUCCCCUCCCUUUGAAUGUGACGUCAGAACCCAGAGCAGUAUGAUGAACCUCUCUGUCAUCUGUACAGAGAGAUCACCUUGGAUUAUAUUAUACCAUCCAGCUGACGGUUGUGCUGCAUUAGACCAAUACAUCAUCUGAUUAGUGACCAUUGCUCCUCCAUUUUACACUAACACCAUAUUCAGAGGAAGGCGGGCACAGCAGAGACCACAGUACCAUGUCCUGGAUGUUCCUUGACUGGUUCGUCCCCGUCUACCUGCUGGUGUCGGUCCUGGUGCUGGCUGGCUUCGGCGCCUGUCUCUACUUCCUCGAGCCAGGGCUUCAGGACGCACACAAGUGGAGCAACAAGACUGUGAUGCACCAUCCGCUGGUGGUCAGCUUGAACAGCAAAGACGAAGAUGGCAAUGCCCUCAUAUGAUAUGACCACACACACUACGGGAAGGACAGAAGCUGACCACAUGGAGUGGAGCUGCGACUGGAGGACCGCAGGAUGGUAGAUAGAGACAGACACCUCCUGAGAGGUUUGGGACGUGAGAGGCCUGACUGGGAAGAAACAGCAUUGAGAGGAAGGCACUGUGGUCAGGUGGUGCCACCCUUUGAAAUGUGAAAUAACAUUUUCAUAGAGAGGGGAAACAAAAAAUGAGGUCAUUUGAACAAAGUGUUAGUUCCUGUUUUCAUGUUCAUAUUUGUGCCAUUUCAUGAUUGUGCCAAUUUUGACAUGUAUUUUGUAACCAGACAUUCACUGCAUUUAUCAUGAUGUUUAUGUAUCUUAGUGCAUUUGAAGCUGACUAAUAAAGUGCAAUACAUUUCUAAAUGUUGAAACCACAAAAUCAGUUUUCUGAAAAUGUCAAUAUGGCAGCUGCUAUCAAGAUGUCUCUUGUUUGGAAGUAUUUGUAAAGGUGUUUGAAUGAAACUGUUGCUUUCAGUAAUGAUGUCAGAUAUGUGCCAAAUAGAUUGAUGAUUAAAUUGGUUCAAGAUGCGAAAAUAAUCCAUUCAGAGGUCGAUCCUAAGAAAACAUUUGUAUUUUAUUCUCAUCACGCUGCCCUUUUUUACUGAAGGGUGGUGGGAAAAAAGUAUGUAUGUAUCAUUUUGCACUUUUGACCAUGUUACCAUAAUUAUAUACUCAUAAGAACUAACAAAAUAAAUGGAUUUAUCACCACUUGAA